GAUGAACGCUAGCGAUAGGCUUAACACAUGCAAGUCGAGGGGCAGCAUGGUCUUCGGACCGAUGGCGACCGGCGCACGGGUGAGUAACACGUAUGCAACCUACCCAUUACACGGGGAUAGCUCGGAGAAAUCCGGAUUAAUACCCGAUGAUACAUGUUUUCUGCAUGGAUUACAUUGUUAAAGAUUUAUUGGUAAUGGAUGGGCCUGCGUUGGAUUAGCUAGUUGGUAAGGUAACGGCUUACCAAGGCGACGAUCCAUAGGGGAACUGAGAGGUUUAUCCCCCACACUGGUACUGAGACACGGACCAGACUCCUACGGGAGGCAGCAGUGAGGAAUAUUGGUCAAUGGGCGCGAGCCUGAACCAGCCAAGUCGCGUGAAGGACGACGGUAUUAUGUAUUGUAAACUUCUUUUAUAGGGGAAUAAAGUACACCACGUGUGGUGUUUUGUAUGUACCCUAUGAAUAAGCAUCGGCUAACUCCGUGCCAGCAGCCGCCGCAGUAAAAC
rnacentral:rRNA from 1 species